rnacentral:lncRNA from 1 species
AUGAAAUUGAAUUCCAUGCUCAGUGCUAGGAAAUUCAUUUCAGAGCUACAUGUUUAUCUUCAAAAUGAUUUCACAUAUCAAUAUUUAUGUUUUAACCCAUUCUUUAGAACUGGACAUGGAACAACAGACUGGUUCCAAAUAGGAAAAGGAGUACGUCAAGGCUGUAUAUUGUCACCCUGCUUAUUUAACUUCUAUGCAGAGUACAUCAUGAGAAACGCUGGGCUGGAAGAAGCACAAUCUGGAAUCAAGAUUGCUGGGAGAAAUAUCAAUAACCUCAGCUAUGCAGAUGACACCACCCUUAUGGCAGAAAGUGAAGAGGAACUCAAAAUCCUCUUGAUGAAAGUGAAAGAGGAGAGUGAAAAAGUUGGCUUAAAGCUCAACCUUCACAAAACGAAGAUCAUGGCAUCUGGUCCCAUCACUUCAUGGCAAAUAUAUGGGGAAACAGUGGAAACAGUAUCAGACUUUAUUUUUUGGGGCUCCAAAAUCACUGCAGAAGGUGACUGCAGCCAUGAAAUUAAAAGAUGCUUACUCCUUGGAAGAAAAGUUAUGACCAACCUAGACAGCAUAUUUAAAAGCAGAGACAUUACUUUGCCAACAAAGGUCUGUCUAGUCAAGGCUAUGGUUUUUCCAGUAGUCAUAUAUGGAUGUGAGAGUUGGACUGUGAAGAAAGCUGAGUGCUGAAGAAUUGAUGGUUUUGAACUGUGAUAUUGGAGAAGACUCUUGAGAGUCCCUUGGACUGCAAGGAGAUCCAACCAGUCCAUUCUGAAGGAGAUCAGCCCUGGGAUUUCUUUGGAAGGAAUGAUGCUAAAGCUGAAACUCCAGUACUUUGGCCACCUCAUGCAAAGAGUUGACUCAUUGGAAAAGACUCUGAUGCUGGGAGGGAUUGAGGGCAGGAGGAGAAGGGGACGACAGAGGAUGAGAUGGCUGGAUGGCAUCACUGACUCGAUGGAUGUGAGUCUGAGUGAACUCUGGGAGUUGGUGAUGGACAUGAAGGCCUGGUGUGCUGUGAUUCAUGGUAUCACAGAGUCGGACAUGACUGAGCAACUGAACUGAACUGAACUGAACACUCUGUAGUUUCUUAAUUUGCACACUUUUUUCCUACAAUCAGUUCAGUUUCUAAGAAAUAGUCAUCUCUAAAAUUUCUCUCUAAUUUGAAGACAAAACAAUUGAGAGAAAUAUUAAAAGUUUAGAAUCAUUGUGAUUUUUCUUGUCAUGAAUUUCAAUUUUACAUAGUACAAACUCCCUGCUAUGACAGAAAGGAAAACAACACCUUCAUAUGUCUCCCUACUUUUUCUCCACCACAUCUAUGUUAAUGUUAGUCACAUUUAAACUGUUAUUUAAAUUUGCACUGUUUUACUUAAAAUGCACUAUUUCUUUUUUAUUUUAAUUUAUUUAUUUUAGUUGGAGGCUAAUUACUGCACAAUAUUGUAGCGGUUUUUGCCAUACAUUGACAUGAAUCAGCCAUGGGUUUACAUGUGUUUACCCAUCCUGAACCCCUCUUCCACUUCCCUCCCCAUCCCAUCCCUCUGGGUCAUCCCAGUGCACUAGCCCUGAGCACCCUGUCUCAUGCAUCAAAUCUGGACUGGUGAUCUGUUUCAUAUAUGAUAAUAUACAUGUUUCAAUGAUAUUCUCUCAGAUCAUCCCACCCUUGCCUUCUCCCAUGAGCCCAAAAUACUUCUAUACAUCUGGAUCUCUUUUGCUGUCUCGCAUAUAGGGUUAUCGUCACCAUCUUUCUAAAUUCCAUUUAUAUGCAUUAGUAUACUGUAUUGCAGUUUUUCUUUCUGGCUUACUUCACUCUGUAUAAUAGGCUCCAGUUUCAUCCACCUCAUUAGAACUGACUCAAAUGUAUUCUUUUUAACGGCUGAGUAAUACUCCAUUGUAUAUAUGUACCACAGCUUUCUUAUCCAUUCUUCUGAUGAUGGACAUCUAGGUUGCUUCCAUGUCCUGGCUAUUAUAAAUAGAAAAUGCACUAUUUCUGUACAUUUAAAAUUAAACAGUGUAACCAAGAAGUGUCCUGGUGCCAGUUACUCCACAAAAGUUAUUUUUUUUCUUUCAAUCUGAAAGUUCAGUUUUCCUUUUUUUCCCCAAGAAAAAAUAUUUUCCAGCAUACUUCUGAAUACUUCUUAUUCUUUUUGAUGGUUUUACAAUCCUAAGAUGUCAGUUAUUCUUAUUUGAAUAAUUUUUGUUGUCCCUAUUAUCGUAUCUUAAAUCAAUUUAAUCUCUAUUUUUUUCCUCUCCACAUUCACUGUGUGACAAUACAUCUACUUAGGAGAUGUCUUUCUGGAAGAACACAUCUGUGUCUUUAGAUAGCCUGUGGUAGCACUUGAGCAUGAGAGAGUCUGUGGCUGGAGUAAAGGAAUGUAUGAGACUUUCAAGUAUAGGGCUUGGUGGCUCAGAUGAUAAAAAAAUCUGCAUGCAAUGCGGGAGACCUGGGUUUGAUCCCUGGGUUAGGAAGACCCCUGGAGAAGGGAAUGGCUACCCACUCCAGUAUUCUUGCCUGGAGAAUCCCAUGGACAGAGGAGCCUGGGGGGUUACAGUCCAUGGGAUUGCAAAGAGUUGGACAUGACUGAGGGACUUGCACAGAGGAGUCUGGGGGGCUACAGUCCAUAGUGUAGCAAACAGUUGGACACGACUGAGUGACUAAGUAUGUGCGUGCAUGCACACGUGCACAUACACACACAUAUAUAGGGGAUAUAGAUUCAGUUCAGUUCAGUUCAGUCUCUCAGUCAUGUCGGACUCUUUGUGACCCCAUGAACUGCAUCACGCUAGGCCUCCCUGUCAAUCACCAACUCCUGGAGUUCACUCAAACUCAUGUCCUUCCAGUUGGUGAUGCUAUCCAGCCAUCUUAUGCUCUGCCAUCCCCUUCUCCUCCUGCCCCCAAUCCCUCCCAGCAUCAGAAUCUUUUCCAAUGAGUCAACUCUUCGCAUGAGGUAGCCAAAGUACUGGAGUUUCAGCUUUAGCAUCUUUCCUUCCAAAGAACACCCAGGACUGAUCUCCUUUAGAAUGGACUGGUUGGAUCUCCUUGCAGUCCAAGGGACUCUCAAGAAUCUUCUCCAACAUCACAGUUCAAAAGCAUCAAUUAGAUGCUUUAGUAGAUGGCAUUGUUUUUCUCAAUUCUUUCUCUGUCUUUCUCUUUCGUUUGCUGCAUGAAUUAGCAGUUUAUCCUUCUAGAGGUGGGUCUCCUCCCUUUGACUUGACUAUGGACUUCUACCCUGAUUUGGCAGAAGAUACAAAAUAAGUGGGGGCUUCCCAGGUGGUUCUAGUGGUAAAGAACCCACCUGCCAACACAGGAGAUAUAAGAGUUGCGGGUUCAAUCCCUGGUUUGGGAAGAUCCCCUGGAGGAGGGCAUGGCAACCCGUUCUAGUAUUCUUGCCUGGAGAAUCCCAUGGACAGAGGAGCCCAGCAGGCUAUAGUCCAUAGGGUCACUCAGAGUUGGACACGACUGAAGCAACUUGGCAUGCAUGCACAAAAUAAGUACAGGCUGGAACUGUGGUUGCAUGAUCCUACUUGCCCUCUUAUGCUUCUGCCAUCAGCAUCAGAAGAGCUUCCUGUGAGUAGCUGGUGACCCUUUGAGCUGGGACCCAGAAUGAAGACACAUGUACAGACUAGAGCCUAACCCAUAGUGAGGAGUCAAGUUGGACCCAUGGUUUAAAGCAGAGAUGCCCCUUAAACUGGCUGAUCCACUUACAAGAGAAAAUUCAGUUCCAGAAAGGUUGUUCCACAGUGCUAUUGUGAGGACAGAUGACUGAUUCUUGACCCCUACCAUGUGUUCUAAAGAAGUGUUUAUGAUAAUUUAUAAGAUUACUAAUGGCAUUGCUAUGACCACCUUUGAAGAAUAAAUUGAGCAAAGCAAGGGUAUAAAUAUCA